UACAGAGGGUGCGAGCGUUAAUCGGAAUUACUGGGCGUAAAGCGCACGUAGGCGGCCAGAUAAGUCCGGUGUGAAAGUCACAGGCUCAACCUGUGAAUGCCGCUGGAAACUGUCUGGCUUGAGUCCGGAAGGGGCGAGUGGAAUUCCUGGUGUAGCGGUGAAAUGCGCAGAUAUCAGGAGGAACACCAAUGGCGAAGGCAGCUCGCUGGAACGGUACUGACGCUGGAGGCGCGAAAAGCGUGGGGAGCGAACAGG
rnacentral:rRNA from 1 species